rnacentral:rRNA from 1 species
CGGGUGAGUAAUGCAUAGAUAAUGUGCCCCUUAGUUCGGGAUAGCCACUGGAAACGGUGAUUAAUACCGGAUACUCCUUCUUGUUAUAAGACAAGUCGGGAAAGUUUUUCGCUAAGGGAUCAGUCUAUGUUCCAUCAGCUUGUUGGUGAGGUAAUGGCUCACCAAGGCUAUGACGGAUAUCUGGUUUGAGAGGAUGAUCAGACACACUGGAACUGAGACACGGUCCAGACUCCUACGGGAGGCAGCAGUGAGGAAUAUUGCACAAUGGAGGAAACUCUGAUGCAGCAACGCCGCGUGGAGGAUGACGCAUUUCGGUGUGUAAACUCCUUUUAUUAGGGAAGAUAAUGACGGUACCUAAUGAAUAAGCACCGGCUAACUCCGUGCCAGCAGCCGCGGUAAUACGGAGGGUGCAAGCGUUACUCGGAAUCACUGGGCGUAAAGGGUGCGUAGGCUGGCUUUUAAGUCAGAUGUGAAAUCCAAUGGCUCAACCAUUGAACUGCAUUUGAAACUGAAAGCCUAGAGUUCAGAAGGGGCAGAUGGAAUUAGUGGUGUAGGGGUAAAAUCCGUAGAUAUCACUAGGAAUAUCAAAAGCGAAGGCGAUCUGCUGGGA